rnacentral:rRNA from 1 species
GAAAAGGAGCAAUCCGCUUUGAGAUGGCCUCGCGUCCGAUUAGCUGGUUGGUGAGGUAACGGCCCACCAAGGCAACGAUCGGUAGCCGGACUGAGAGGUUGAACGGCCACAUUGGGACUGAGACACGGCCCAGACUCCUACGGGAGGCAGCAGUGGGGAAUAUUGCACAAUGGGGGAAACCCUGAUGCAGCGACGCCGCGUGGAGGAAGAAGGUCUUCGGAUUGUAAACUCCUGUUGUUGAGGAAGAUAAUGACGGUACUCAACAAGGAAGUGACGGCUAACUACGUGCCAGCAGCCGCGGUAAAACGUAGGUCACAAGCGUUGUCCGGAAUUACUGGGUGUAAAGGGAGCGCAGGCGGGAAGACAAGUUGGAAGUGAAAUCCAUGGGCUCAACCCAUGAACUGCUUUCAAAACUGUUUUUCUUGAGUAGUGCAGAGGUAGGCGGAAUUCCCGGUGUAGCGGUGGAAUGCGUAGAUAUCGGGAGGAACACCAGUGGCGAAGGCGGCCUACUGGGCACCAACUGACGCUGAGGCUCGAAAGUGUGGGUAGCAAACAGGAUUAGAUACCCUGGUAGUCCACACCGUAAACGAUGAUUACUAGGUGUUGGAGGAUUGACCCCUUCAGUGCC